UUCACCUGGGCAUCUUGUCAAAAUGCAGAUUCAGAUUCAGCAGGUCUGGGGUGGGGCCUGAGAUUCUGCAUGUCUAACAAGCCCCCAGGUGAUGCGGA
rnacentral:pre_miRNA from 1 species